CGCCCUUGGAAUUUCAUCAGAGGUACAGCCUGCCCGGUGGAACUGUAGUUAAACGGCGGCAUUAGCCUGAUUGUCCAAAGGUAGCGUAUAAUUCGCCUCUUAAUUAGUGGCUGGUAUGAAAGGUUAGACGUGGGAGCAGCUGUCUUCUACAUAUAGCUAGAACUUAUCUUGUAGGUGAACAGACUUAUAUUUAAUUUCAAGACGGGUAGACCCCGAUGAGCUUGAUAGCGGCGUGUUGUUUUUGACAAGUUAAUUAACUUGGCAUUUUAUAGCAUGCUUCUUCGGUUGGGAAAACCGAGGAGAUGUAUGAAACUCUUAAAUUGUUUAUGUGAGAUAGAUAUCAAGAUCUUUUCUGAAAGAAAUUUUUUAUAAAGAAAAGCUACCGCGGGGAUAACAGCAUUGUCCUUUCGGAGAGAAUUCAUUGAUGAAGGGGUUUGUGACCUCGAUUUUGGAUCAUAAGAUUUCUGGGCGGUAAAGAGGCUGCCUGUGAGGGACUGUUCGUCCUUUAAAUUUUUACGUGAUCUGAGUUCAGACCGGA
rnacentral:rRNA from 4 species